rnacentral:rRNA from 1 species
UACGAACUGUGCGAACGUUAUUCGGAAUCACUGGGCUUACAGGGUGCGUAGGCGGCUCAACAAGUCAGGUGUGAAAGCCCCCGGCUCAACCGGGGAACUGCGCUUGAAACUGUUAGGCUCGAGUCAGCUAGAGGUACACGGAACUUCCAGUGGAGCGGUGAAAUGUGUUGAUAUUGGAAGGAACACCGGAGGCGAAAGCGGUGUUCUGGGGCUGGUCUGACACUGAGGCACGAAAGCCAGGGGAGCGAACGGG